rnacentral:rRNA from 1 species
GAUGAACGCUGGCGGCGUGCCUAAUACAUGCAAGUCGAGCGAACGGACGAGAAGCUUGCUUCUCUGAUGUUAGCGGCGGACGGGUGAGUAACAAGUGGAUAACAUACCUAUAAGACUGGGAUAACUUCGGGAAACCGGAGCUAAUACCGGAUAAUAUUUUGAACCGCAUGGUUCAAAAGUGAAAGACGGUCUUGCUGUCACUUAUAGAUGGAUCCGCGCUGCAUUAGCUAGUUGGUAAGGUAACGGCUUACCAAGGCAACGAUGCAUAGCCGACCUGAGAGGGGGAUCGGCCACACUGGAACUGAGACACGGUCCAGACUCCUACGGGAGGCAGCAGUAGGGAAUCUUCCGCAAUGGGCGAAAGCCUGACGGAGCAACGCCGCGUGAGUGAUGAAGGUCUUCGGAUCGUAAAACUCUGUUAUUAGGGAAGAACAUAUGUGUAAGUAACUGUGCACAUCUUGACGGUACCUAAUCAGAAAGCCACGGCUAACUACGUG